rnacentral:lncRNA from 1 species
UCAGUCAUUGCUGGCAGUGUCUUUUACAAUUAAGCCAUCAACUGUGACUAGAAAGGCCUCAAAUUUAAAGCCAAUCUUGACAAGACUCUGUGUGACCUAGAACAAAUUUUUUCCCAUUCCUUUGGUUCACUGGGAUGAAUAAUAGAGUGGAUGAAAUGUUCCUUGUUUCCAAUCUGUAUGAGAUUAAAGUAAUCAUUUCGAUGGGAAAAGGCUAUGCCCUAGAAACAGGUGCCUUUAUUCUAUUCUUAUUCUGCACUGUACAGACAACCUCCUGACAAAAGAAAAAUUGCAAACUCCAUGGCCUCAGCACUAACUGAGACAUAUGGGAGAAGGCCUUGGGAAAAGAGCAAUGGCAUCACCAGGAUCCUGAGUUCUUACCGAAAUCUAAGUAUACAGAUGAAACAGAUGACAUUACGUUGCACCCUGAUCUAAGUCAUCCACUACUUCUAGAACAGCUGAAGAGAAGGCAGAAGAAGGAAAGAAAAAUGAUGACAAAAGCAUGGAAAGCUAACAAAAGAGGAUAAACAUACUGCAUUGAAGAUGCAACAAAAUCAUACAAAGAGUCAAGGAAGCCUAUUCUCUCAAAGAGAAUUCUAUUUGACUGAGGGUCCAAGGGGAAAGUCA